rnacentral:rRNA from 1 species
GAUGAACGCUGGCGGCGUGCCUAAUAUAUGCAAGUCGAGCGAACAGACGAGGAGCUUGCUCCUCUGACGUUAGCGGCGGACGGGUGAGUAACACGUGGAUAACCUACCUAUAAGACUGGGAUAACUUCGGGAAACCGGAGCUAAUACCGGAUAAUAUAUUGAACCGCAUGGUUCAAUAGUGAAAGACGGUUUUGCUGUCACUUAUAGAUGGAUCCGCGCCGCAUUAGCUAGUUGGUAAGGUAACGGCUUACCAAGGCAACGAUGCGUAGCCGACCUGAGAGGGUGAUCGGCCCCACUGGAACUGAGACACGGUCCAGACUCCUACGGGAGGCAGCAGUAGGGAAUCUUCCGCAAUGGGCGAAAGCCUGACGGAGCAACGCCGCGUGAGUGAUGAAGGUCUUCGGAUCGUAAAACUCUGUUAUUAGGGAAGAACAAAUGUGUAAGUAACUAUGCACGUCUUGACGGUACCUAAUCAGAAAGCCACGGCUAACUACGUG